UGUCUCUCUCUUCAAUCAAAUAAAUCUUUCCUUUUUCCUUAUUGUUUCCCUUUUCAUAGUACAGAAACCCUAGGUUUCUUCCUUUGCUUCUUCCUUUGCGGCUUUAUUCUUGGUAUAGGUAAUUUCAAGGUUACAAUCUUUCACAAUUAUUUUGUUUUCGUAUUCAAAUCUCCCAAUACCUCUCUGAAAGUUGAAGCACUGAUGUCAUCGCACCAUCAAAGUUGUCGAUUUGAAGGUCAUCGCUCUCUCUGGCUCAUGAAAUCAAGGUUUUUUUUUAAAUGAUUGGAAUGCGAUGGGGACAGAGGAUUUUGGUAAAUCUUGUGACUAGGAAAGUUCAUACAUGUUGUUCGAUCCAAAUCAAUGUUUUAUGUUCAAAGCAAAUCAAUGGUGACAUGGGGACUCAAAAACGCUGCUUCCCUCCACUGAUAUCUUGACCGCCGGAAGAAGAAAUAGGUAAUGUUUCUGUACCUUUUAUGUUUUGAUUCAAUUAUUGCUUUCAGUUUCUCUCUUUCCUUUCUCUCUCAAAACCCUAGAUCAAAUGAGUGCAAGUUCCUGUUCUUCAUUCUCAUAUUCAUCAAUCAAUAACAUAGGUAUCAAAACUUUGCAAUCAAGAUAUCAACAAGAGAUUCACGAAGAGAAAGAUCAAUCCAGGUUUUAAUCGAUCUCAAAUCAGCAGUUGCACUUGCUUGAAGACCAGUGAUUGGCAUUUGAUAUCUUCUAUAUACAGCUCAUGCUAAAUCGUU